UACGUAGGUGGCAAGCGUUGUUCGGAAUUAUUGGGCGUAAAGGGCGCGUAGGCGGUCUCGUAAGUCAGCUGUGAAAGCCCGGGGCUCAACCCCGGAGGGUCGGCUGAUACUGCAGGACUGGAGUACGGAAGAGGUAGCUGGAAUUCCCGGUGUAGCGGUGAAAUGCGUAGAGAUCAGGAAGAACACCGGUGGCGAAAGCGCUCUGCUAGGCCGCAACUGACACUCAUGGACGAAAGCUGGGGGAGCGAAUGGG
rnacentral:rRNA from 1 species